GUGGCUUCAAUACCAUCAACAAAACACCAAAUGAUGGAAUUUCCUCGUGGAAGAAUGGCGUCUCAUCCCUCCGAUAGACUUCCCAGACACUUGUAGAAUCGAUGUCAAGGUGUAUUAAAGCUGUUCUGGUUGGUGGAGGACCCGACGUCCUAUUAAAACACUGUUGGAGUUUCCUUUAUUCUCCCAGUUACCUGGUGGUUGGUGGAGGACCUGGAGUUUCCUUUAUUCUGCCAGUUACCUGGUGGACGACCCGACCUCCUAUUAAAACACUGUUGGAGUUUCCUUUAUUCUGCCAGUUACCUGGUGGACGACCCGACCUCUUAUUAAAACACUGUUGGAGUUUCCUUUAUUCUGCCAGUUACCUGGUGGACGACCCGACCUCCUAUUAAAACACUAUGUUGGAGUUUCCUUUAUUCUGCCAGUUACCUGGUGGACGACCCGACCUCCUAUUAAAACACUAUGUUGGAGUUUCCUUUAUUCUGCCAGUUACCUGGUGGUUGGUGGACCUGGAGUUUCCUUUAUUCUGCCAGUUACCUGGUGGACGACCCGACCUCCUAUUAAAACACUGUUGGUGUUUCCUUUAUUCUGCCAGUUACCUGGUGGUUGGUGGAGGACCUGGAGUUUCCUUUAUUCUGCCAGUUACCUGGUGGACGACCCGACGUCCUAUUAAAACACUGUUGGAGUUUCCUUUAUUCUGCCAGUUACCUGGUGGACGACCCGACCUCCUAUUAAAACACUGUUGGAGUUUCCUUUAUUCUGCCAGUUACCUGGUGGUUGGUGGACCUGGAGUUUCCUUUAUUCUGCCAGUUACCUGGUGGACGACCCGACCUAUUAAAACACUAUGUUGGAGUUUCCUUUAUUCUGGCAGUUACCUGGUGGUUGGUGGAGGACCUGGAGUUUCCUUUAUUCUGCCAGUUACCUCCUAUUAAAACACUUUAUGUUGCUGUUUCCUUCACAAGGUUCAUUUCCAUCUUGCUGUUUGUUGAAAGGUCAAGAUGUUUGGAUGUGUAUUUUAUUCUUCUGAUUGUUACAGAUUGGCUAAAUGCAGACAAAAUGCAACCCAAAACAGUCUUACCACAGUGUGCUUAUUGUGUGUGUGUGUGUGUGUGUGUGUGUGUGUGUGCGUGUGCUUAUUGUGUGUGUGUGUGUGUUGCGUCAGGUCUGCUUUCACCUAGUUAUGUAUAGCUGUUGUGUUUCAAUGUCAAAGUAUUAUUCAGGUCCUGAGGGCCAAAACAUUUCUGCUUUCUCUUCCUACCUGAUGUCCCCAGGUCUGAAUGAGUCUCUCUACCUGAUGUCCCCAGGUCUGAAUGAGUCUCUCUACCUGAUGUCCCCAGGUCUGAAUGAGUCUCUCUACCUGAUGUCCCCAGGUCUGAAUUAGUCCCAGGUCUGAAUGAGUCUCUCUACCUGAUGUCCCCAGGUCUGAAUGAGUCUCAGGUCUGAAUGAGUCUCUCUACCUGAUGUCCCCAGGUCUGAAUGAGUCUCUCUACCUGAUGUCCCCAGGUCUGAAUGAGUCUCUCUACCUGAUGUCCCCAGGUCUGAAUGAGUCUCUCUACCUGAUGUCCCCAGGUCUGAAUGAGUCUCUCUACCUGAUGUCCCCAGGUCUGAAUGAGUCUCUCUACCUGAUGUCCCCAGGUCUGAAUGAGUCUCUCUACCUGAUGUCCCCAGGUCUGAAUGAGUCUCUCUACCUGAUGUCCCCAGGUCUGAAUUAGUCCCAGGUCUGAAUGAGUCUCUCUACCUGAUGUCCCCAGGUCUGAAUGAGUCUCUCUACCUGAUGUCCCCAGGUCUGAAUGAGUCUCUCUACCUGAUGUCCCCAGGUCUGAAUGAGUCUCUCUACCUGAUGUCCCCAGGUCUGAAUGAGUCUCUCUACCUGAUGUCCCCAGGUCUGAAUGAGUCCCAGGUCUGAAUGAGUCUCUCUACCUGAUGUCCCCAGGUCUGAAUGAGUCCCAGGUCUGAAUGAGUCUCUCUACCUGAUGUCCCCAGGUCUGAAUGAGUCUCUCUACCUGAUGUCCCCAGGUCUGAAUGAGUCUCAGGUCUGAAUGAGUCUCAACCUGUUGUCCCCAGGUCUGAAUGAGUCUCGGGUCUGAACGAGUCUCGGAUUACAGGUAGAGGAUGAGAACCAGUAGUGUUUCGUCCCUCCAGGACCAGAAAGAAAUAGCCCUUGGCUAGAUUCAAUCUGAUCCGCAGAAGAUCCGGGUUAUAGUUCACCUUUAAAAAAACCAAAAAGGUAAUUUAGGAUUGAGCCUACUGUUAACGUGGAAACUUUACCUUUUAAUAAGGUGCACAGCCGAAAAGAGGAGAUCGGAUUUGAAUCUAGGAACAGCUUCCUCCCUCCAGUCCUAACGAGGGGUGAGAGAUAUAUAUAUAUAUAUGGGUCCCGUGUGGCUCAGUUGGUAGAGCAUGGGUGUUUGCAACGCCAGGGUUGUGGGUUCGAUUCCCACGGGGGACCAAUACGGGGGGGGGAAAUGUCUGAAAUGUAUGCAUUCACUACUGUAAGUCGCUCUGGAUAAGAGCGUCUGCUAAAAUGACUAAAAUGUAAAUGUUAAUAACUGAUCUAGGAUCAGUUUCCUCCCUCCAGUCCUAACAGGUCACCAUUAGAGAGGUGAUAUAUAUAUAUAACUGAUCUAGGACCAGUGUUGAACAGGUCACCAUUAGAGAGGUGAUAUAUAUAUAUAUAUAACUGAUCUAGGACCAGUCCUAACAGGUCACCAUUAGAGAGGUGAUAUAUAUAUAUAUAUGACUGAUCUAGGAUCAGUCCUAACGGGUCACCAUUAGAGAGG
rnacentral:lncRNA from 1 species